GACGAACGCUGGCGGCGUGCUUAACACAUGCAAGUCGAACGGAAAGGCCUCUUUCGGGGGGUACUCGAGUGGCGAACGGGUGAGUAACACGUGAGUAACCUGCCCUUGACUUUGGGAUAACUUCAGGAAACUGGGGCUAAUACCGGAUAGGAGCUCCUGCUGCAUGGUGGGGGUUGGAAAGUUUCGGCGGUUGGGGAUGGACUCGCGGCUUAUCAGCUUGUUGGUGGGGUAGUGGCUUACCAAGGCUUUGACGGGUAGCCGGCCUGAGAGGGUGACCGGCCACAUUGGGACUGAGAUACGGCCCAGACUCCUACGGGAGGCAGCAGUGGGGAAUAUUGCACAAUGGGUGGAAGCAUGAUGCAGCAACGCCGUGUGCGGGAUGACGGCCUUCGGGUUGUAAACCGCUUUCGCUCAUGACGAAGCUUUGUGUGACGGUAGUGGGUAAAGAAGCACCGGCUAACUACGUG
rnacentral:rRNA from 1 species